AUUGAACGCUGGCGGAAUGCUUUACACAUGCAAGUCGAGCGGCAGCGCGGGGCAACCUGGCGGCGAGCGGCGAACGGGUGAGUAAUGCAUCGGAACGUACCCCGUCGUGGGGGAUAACUACCCGAAAGGGUAGCUAAUACCGCAUACGACCUGAGGGUGAAAGCGGGGGACCGAAAGGCCUCGCGCGAUGGGAGCGGCCGAUGCCGGAUUAGCUAGUUGGUAGGGUAAAGGCCUACCAAGGCGACGAUCCGUAGCUGGUCUGAGAGGAUGAUCAGCCACACUGGUACUGAGACACGGACCAGACUCCUACGGGAGGCAGCAGUGAGGAAUAUUGGUCAAUGGGCGCAAGCCUGAACCAGCCAUGCCGCGUGCAGGAUGAAGCAUCUAUGGUGUGUAAACUGCUUUUGUACGGGAAGAAACACCGGAACGCGUUCCGGCUUGACGGUACCGUAAGAAGUAAGGAUCGGCGUAACUCCGUGCCAGCAG
rnacentral:rRNA from 1 species